UAUAGCGGUUGUUAAUACAGUUUGGUGUU
rnacentral:piRNA from 1 species